UACGUAGGUGGCGAGCGUUGUCCGGAAUUACUGGGCGUAAAGCGCGCGUAGACGGCUUGAUAAGUCAGAUGUGAAAGACCCGGGCUCAACCCGGGGGUUGCAUCUGAGACUGUUGAGCUUGAGUGCAGGAGAGGCAAGUGGAAUUCCCAGUGUAGCAGUGAAAUGCGUAGAGAUUGGGAGGAACACCAGUGGCGAAGGCGACUUGCUGGACUGUAACUGACGUUGAGGUGCGAAAGCUAGGGGAGCAAAC
rnacentral:rRNA from 1 species